rnacentral:rRNA from 1 species
AAGAGAAUGAUUAAACAAUUAAAAGCUUUCUUUAAUUGAAUAAUUGAAUUUAAUUUUUUAGUGCAAAAGCAAAAAUAAAAAUUAGGGACAAGAAGACCCUAUGAAUUUUUUAUUAAAUUUUAUAAAACUUUAUAUAAAGUUUAAUUUAAUUGGGGUGAUGGAAAAAGAAUAAAUAUCUUUUUUUUAAAGAAAAUUGGUUCCGUUUUUAGUGAUUAAAUGAAAAAAAUACUCUAGGGAUAACAGCGUAAUAAUUUUGGAUAGUUCAUAUAGAUAAAAUAGUUUGCGACCUCGAUGUUGGAUUAGGAUUCUUUUUUGGUGAAGAAGUUAAAAAAAGAAGUUUGUUCAACUUAUAAUUUCCU